AGCCACUGCGAGUCGAACGCUUCCCUGUUGCGGGAGGCGUGGCGUACGGCUCAGUAACACGUAGUCAACCUGCCCUCGAGACGAGAACAAUCUCGGGAAACUGAGGCUAAUGCUCGAUAGAUCAAGAUUCCUGGAAUGGGUUUUGGUCCAAAAGGAGUGACAGCAUCUUGUCACUUUGCCCGAGGAUGGGACUGCGGCCGAUCAGGCUGUUGGUGGGGUAAAGGCCCACCAAACCAGUAACCGGUACGGGCUUUGAGAGAAGGAGCGCGGAGAUGGACACUGAGCACAGGGUCCAGGUCCUACGGGGGCGCAGCAGGCGCGAAAACUUUCGCAUUGUGCGAAAGCACCACGAGGUUAUCCCGAGUGAUUUCCCGCUGAGGGAAUUCUUUUCUCAGAAUCUUAAAACGGCUGGGGGAAUUAGGGGGAGGGGCAAUUUUUGUGUUCGCCCCCCCGCGGUAA
rnacentral:rRNA from 1 species